rnacentral:rRNA from 1 species
GACGAACGCUAGCGGCGUGCCUAAUACAUGCAAGUCGAACGCUUCUUUCCUCCCGAGUGCUUGCACUCAAUUGGAAAGAGGAGUGGCGGACGGGUGAGUAACACGUGGGUAACCUACCCAUCAGAGGGGAUAACACUUGGAAACAGGUGCUAAUACCGCAUAACAGUUUAUGCCGCAUGGCAUAAGAGUGAAAGGCGCUUUCGGGUGUCGUUGAUGGAUGGACCCGCGGUGCAUUAGCUAGUUGGUGAGGUAACGGCUCACCAAGGCCACGAUGCAUAGCCGACCUGAGAGGGUGAUCGGCCACACUGGGACUGAGACACGGCCCAGACUCCUACGGGAGGCAGCAGUAGGGAAUCUUCGGCAAUGGACGAAAGUCUGACCGAGCAACGCCGCGUGAGUGAAGAAGGUUUUCGGAUCGUAAAACUCUGUUGUUAGAGAAGAACAAGGACGUUAGUAACUGAACGUCCCCUGACGGUAUCUAACCAGAAAGCCACGGCUAACUACGUG